rnacentral:ncRNA from 13 species
GCGUGGCGCAGCCUGGUAGCGCAUCUGGUUUGGGACCAGAGGGUCGUAGGUUCGAAUCCUAUCGC